GACGAACGCUGGCGGCGUGCUUAACACAUGCCAGUCGAACGGACAGGCCCUGCUUUUGUGGGGUGCUCGAGUGGCGAACGGGUUAGUACCACGUGAGUAACCUGCCCUUCGCUUUCGGAUAACUUCAGGAAACUGGGGCUAUUACCGGAUAGGAGCUCCUGUUGCAUGGUGGGGGUUGGAGAGUUUCGGCGGUUGGGGAUGGUCUGGCAGGUUAUCAGCUUGUUGGUGGUGUAGUGGCUUCCCCAGGCUUAGACGGGUACCCGGCCUGAGAGGGUGACCGGGGUCAUGAGUACUGAGGUACGGCCCAGACGCCAACUUGGGGCAGCAGGGGGGAAUAUGGCACAAUGAGCGGAAGCCUGAGACGAAAGCGUCGGGUUCGUGAAGACGGCCUGUUGGGUGAGAACCGCUUUCGCCUAAGACGAAGCGGGAGUGACGGUAACGGGUAAAGAAGCACCGGCUAACUACGUG
rnacentral:rRNA from 1 species